UAGGGAAUCUUCCACAAUGGGCGAAGCCUGAUGGAGCAACGCCGCGUGGGUGAAGAAGGUCUUCGGAUCGUAAAACCCUGUUGUUAGAGAAGAAAGUGCGUGAGAGUAACUGUUCACGUUUCGACGGUAUCUAACCAGAAAGCCACGGCUAACUACGUGCC
rnacentral:rRNA from 1 species